CGGCUCUUGGCAGAGAUCUCUUCCAUUGUCAUAUUGCUCUUGCUGUCAGUAACCUCCUAUCUAAUUUAAACUUGCCUUCCUCCACUUUAAAGACGUACUUCCUGACAGACAUCCUUGGUCGUCCUGGAAUAUUUCUUCCCUUCUUAUAUUAUUUUCCCUCAAGGACAAAUCUAGGGUACUAAGCAUUCCCUCUUUCUUUAUUUCUGUACAUAAUAUUUUACAUUUUUUAACCUUUCCAAAGCUUUCCACUCUCAUCAGACUUGUUACUCUUCCUUCUCUUUACUUUACCACUAUCUCUUUAAUUGUGAAUUAGCCAGGACUGUACACAGUAUUCCAGUGAUGCCUUAAUUAUGCCAUGCAUAGGUGAGUUAAAAUGUCUCUAACCUUACAUGCAGUACCUCACAUUGCUUUCCUUUGUAAUCAUUUCAUAGUACAACCCAAUGGGCUCCAUUCUCAGCCAGUGCAAACUGGAAAAGCUCCACUGAAGUCAAUGGUACAUUGAUUAUUAACCUGGACUGUAUGAAGGCCUAUAUUUCUGGAAUCCUGCUCCCACUGGAAAGUGACCAGUCCUGUACCAACAUAGGGCUCUAGAGAAAGAAGAAAGUAGAAAGAAGAAAAUCCCUUUGUGCAUCAAUGGCUCAGUCCUCCUGUCCUCACCGAGACACAAUUCCCAUUGAUGUCAAUGAAAACUUUGCUUGGGGAUGCAUCCAAAGAUCAGUGAUGAAAAACUAAAUCUCCUCCAUCAGGAUAAAUUCUCUCUCUGCUCCUAUUCAACAUCAACAUGCAGCCACUAAGUAAAAUGGGGCAUGAAGGGACAUGAAGGGAAUGUCAACAUUGAGAGUCUCAUUCUUAUGGUGGAAAGGCUUUUUCAAAGAGGAAGGUUUUGCUGUGUUUACUAAAGAUGGUUCAACUCUGGAUUUACAUAAUCUCCUCAAAGUUACUUCUAUAGCUGGAUUCCCUUGACCAAGAAUGCUUUAUUCCCAGCACUCAUAUACUUUACCUUGGGUUUUGAGAUCUGUGUUGUCCCAGAGGAGCACAGAUGGUGCUUGAUAGAUCAAAAUUCAGUCUUGAACAUAUAUGGGUCUUGAUCCAUUCAUUGCUUUGAAAAUGAGGAUCAAAGCCUUACACUGGCAUCAGAAACUGACUGACAGCCAGCGGGUGGACUUGAGGAUGAGCCUAUUGUGCUCAUGCUGGCCUACGCCAUAGAGAAGGUGGCAACCACAUUCUGAGGUGGAGCUUGUGCAUUGUCUUUACAUAUACUUUAGACACAGUGAUGCAUAGUAGUCAUCCGGGAAAAGAAAAUGUAUGGAUAACUCUGGCCAGAUCUUGGUCCAGGAGGAAGGAACAAAGUUUCCUAGCAAGCUAGAUUUGAAAGAAGGUAUUUUUUAGAUGUUGAUCCUACCUGGUCCUCCAAGCUUAGUAAAGAGUCCAAGAGAACCCUGAGGCUUCACACCAAUCUGACGAAUGGGGACAGUAUGCUUUCAAUGGAAGAUGGAGCUAACAUUGCAGCUACUACUUCAAAGUGUUUCCCUUUUCCAACCACCAUACCUUCUGUCUUGCCUUGAGCAAGCUGCUCUUCAUCCUAGUGCUGAUUUCCUGUAGGUGUUCUGACAUUUUAGUAAGUGACAGUGAUUGCAUCAGUUGAGAAUGAUGGCAUCAGUUGAAUGUUGAAUGUUGUGUCAAUAUGCAGAUGACACACAGUUCUACCUAUCCUUCAUUACAUAAAACCAUAUCACCACCAUCAGAUAACCCAGUGCUUGGAAAUGAAAAAUGGCUGUUUGAUGCUUAAUCCAAACAAUAUAGAGGUUAUACUGAUGAACAGAAGAAAUCACUUUGAAGAAUUUGCAGCCACAGUGUACUCUCUUUUGGUUGAAGGUACACACCCACAAGUGGUUAAUUCUGUCUGUAGUUUAGAAGUGCUCUUGGGUUCCUUGCUGACACUAAGCUCUUACACAGCAGCAUCUAUGCAUAAUACUUUCUACCGUCUCUGGUUUGCUUGUAAACUCUCUCCCAUCCUGGUGGCCAAUGCCAUGGCCUUGGUUCUAAACACCUUUGUCAUCUCCCAGCUGGACUACAGCAAUACAAUAUAUCUGGACAUAAAUCCAAGCCUUUAGGAAACUGUAACUCAUACAGAAUGUUGCAAUGCUUCUUCUCAGCAGUGCAAGUUACCCCAAGCCUAUCAGCCCAGCCCUACCCUCUCUGCACUGACUUCCUAUAUAGUAUUGAGUCAAAUUCAAGGUCUCAGUCUUAGUCUUAAUGGUGCUCAAUGGCCUGGACCAAGGAUAUCUAAAGAUUAACUAAAGCUUUGGGAUGAAGUCAGUGGUCAGCAAUUCCAGUCCUCUGGCACAAUAGAACCUUCUACCAUCAGGAUAAAGCUCGUCUGUGCAGAAGACAGAGACAUGGAGGGGCUGGCCCAAGACAGUGGAAUUCCCACAAGAAUGGAAAACUACCACCUUCCACUCCAAGUGCAAAGUGCAGUUCUUCAGUUUUGCCUUCUCUAACACAAACAUGCAGCAGUGUAUACGUUUGCUAAGCAAAUAAAACAAGACAUAACAAAAUAAAACAAAAAAUCUCUACAAAAACCAAACACUCCACUACACAGACAAUUCUCUCCCUAGGGAGAGGGUGAGAGAAAUAUAUGACAGAUGUUAGCCAUAUUGCUUAAUGCACUGUUGGAAAGUGUUCAUAUACUGUGGUGAUGAGGAUGGCAUAAGAACUUCUGUAGAAUAGAAUAGAAUAGAAUAGAAUAGAAAGCUGAGCCCCGGGUGAAUUUUUCUGUCUUAAUGGUCUACCCUUGGCCCUGUGAUCAAGGACAAUUUCCACUUUUAUUAAAGUGGCUUUCCACAAUUCUCUUUCAGCAUGGGUGUUGCCUUCCAUUCCACAGGCUGAAUUCUUCUCUCACAUCUACACAGUAUAUUUCAGUUCCAGUACUCUAAGCACCCUAACAUAAAUUUGCAACAUGUCGGGUUCUACAUAUAUAUGUUAGAAAGAGCAUGUAUAGGAGGGUUGUAGAAUAGAGUUGGGUAAACUCAAGAUAAUUUUGCCCCAUAUCUGUUUUGUUUUUAUCAACAUGCUCUCCUCCUUACUGCUCUAAAGGGUUAAUAUGCCUUGCUGCCAAACAUCUGAUAAACUUCAAAGGUAAACACAACACAAGGAGUAGUUCUAGUGAUAACUAUUGAAUUGCAAUACAGAUAGGACACUGGCACCAAAUCAACUUGACAUUAAUAAAUUGUCAACACAUAUUUUUUGCUCAUCUGCCUUUUUAACUUUAAUGAUUAGAAAUACCAUUUAUUGAUUCAUAAUCUUCUAAUUGAGCCUGUUUCUCUUCUCACUACUACUGUUUUUACACUUGUUUCAAUAGAGUUACUCUUGAUACUUAGCAGUAUAAUUUAGAGAGAAUCAGGCCCACUAUUUUUGCUCUUACAAAUCCCCGCGGUUCAAACAGGAGAAUACAGAGAAAAGGUCUGGCUAGGGGGCAUAGACAGAGCAGGACAUUUUUAAAUGUGUUUAUUAAAUUUCAAAGGGAGCCUAGGUGUUGGAAUCCUACAGUUUAGGCUGGGGUGGGCGAGGCGAAAAGUUGAGUGUUAUUUUUUUUUAACCUAUCACUUUAAAAUAUGCUGGUUCCCACUUUGACAUACUGUGCCUAUAAAAAGACUGGGUAUAUUUUAGAUUAACAGUAUGUAUCUUUAAUUAUACUCUCUUUAGUUAACAGCUUUGAGAAUUUUAUUUUAUUAAAGAGCUUUUGCUCACCAGGCAGGUUUUUUCUAAGCUCCUACAGCUCUGCUUCAUAGCAGAUACCAAUGUCACAUCAAUCCCUAUGGGAUUCUUGGAUGCAGCUAUACUACGCGCCCUCCCACAGAGAUUUGCAAUAUUAUAGUUUAGUGCUUAUAUUCAAGUUUUCUUCUCACUGUAAAAUGUUCAGGUCUUUACUACUCUACAUUACUGUACAUCAUUUGAUGGCCAGCUGGGCUAUUUUUCAGAUGAAAUAGACUUAGCUCCAAUGUAAAAUACUGAAUCCAAGAAGUCAUAAUCCCCAGUAAAGUUGAGCUUCAAACAAACAUUUCCGUAUAGCUAAUUAUUGUUAAUAUUAUGAUGUUCUUGUUCUGGUGUGCUACAGUUCUCAGUUAUCAAGUGGUAAUAAACUUAAAAGCCAUCAAAACUCAUGAAAGAUGAUCCUUGAUGUUGCACAUCAGACUGCAACAAAGAUAGCUAGAAUAAUUUAUCUUUAUUUCCAUAACAGUGCUGGGCUUGUCUAAGGUCAGAAAUCACAUAGAACAUGGUCAUUGAGAGCAUCUGUUCUCAUCGGUGCACCCUAUCCCAAUCACAGUCAGAGACCUUCUUUCAUAUUUUCAAACUUUUACCUUUCAGAAUUUAAUAGUCCUUUUUUUUUUCAUUUUGGGCUUCAUUUAAAAAGUAUUCUGAUGAAAUCAUUCAGCUCAGCAGACAAAAAAAUCAAACUGAUACCCAAAGCCCUUUUCAUCGUCAUUUCACAUCAUUAUACAAGUGAAAAUGGUUGAACAACAAAAGAAGGCAUGCUUUAUUCCACCAUUAUUGGCCCAGCCUGCUGAAAAUAUGUAGAGCUUUCUGAGGCAUACAAGUCCCAGGAGACCACAUAGGGACGGUGCUGUGAGCUAACUCCCAGGAGACAAGCUUUGUGUGUGGAAAUGCCAGGGUUGCUCAAGGAAAAGGGAAUAGACAGAAAUUAUUCCAGAUGUGCAGGAAGAAAGACAAGACACAAGGGAUGUGGUCUGAUUAGGCCUUAACUUAAUUCAUAAGGAAACCAUCUGACAAUAAUUUGUACGAUUCAUUUAUCCUUCUUUCCAUAAUCUGUUCAGCCUGAUGGACAGCUGCCUUCAGCCCCUUCUGUUGCAUGGAAACCAAUGGGCUUCCACACAACUCUUGGCUCCUCCUUCCAAACCAUGAGAAGCUGGCUCUUCUGAUGGGCAAAACAGGGUGGGGAAGGGGAAACUCCUCUAAAAGGAGCAACAGAAGUUCAUGAAAACCUUAUGCAAUAACAUGCCUGUAAUGAUAUACUGUCCCUUUAAGACCAAGGGGUAAAGUCUCCAGAUUCUUCACUACAAAUGUGAAUGUGGAGAACAAAGGAAACAACUACUGAGACAGUGGAAGUAGUUGCAAAGUAGCAGAUGGUGGACUGAGGCUGCUAAUUCUAGCUAGGAUUUGAAAGUAGAGCCCUGAAGAGGGAACAAGGACAGGCUCCCCUGUCUCUCUCACUCAUCCAGAAGGAAUCCUGGGAAAGAGGGCAGGAUAUAAACUGCCUUCAACAGAGGAAAUACUGUGGAGGGAGUUAGAGGGUCUUGGGUAGGUUUUUCCAAAAUGAUGGAAGACUUUGGCAUAAAUUGUGAGACUCGUUACCAGUUUGGGGAAGAAGUUGCAUUCUUAACACGUACACUUGAGAGGACAAAACCUUGAGGAAGAGGGGUUUGUUUUUUUUAAGAAUUCCAAUGUCAAGGCCUUUUUGUAUAUGUUGGCCUGCUAUGAUACAUGCUGAAGAAGCUCUUUAUUAAUCCAGCCAGUAAAUAUUUGCUUAAUGUCGAGAAGUGUCAGGCUUUAUUUUCCUGAUCCUUUUUAUCUUGGCUUUGCGUAACUGUGAAUAGUCCUAGCCCUCUAAAUAACUAUUUUUUUUUAAGUCCCACUCUAAUCUUUGCCCCUAUCUUGGUGCUGUGAGGUCCGCUGUUUAAUUUUGACCUGUGUAAAAGUAUUUUGUUUGGUUAAAUAUGUUCUUUUAACUUCUACUUCCUCUUAUUCUUCUAUCAUGUCUCAAUGUUUCUCUUGCAUCAUGUUGUGUGGGUGUCUUUGGAUCUGCCUCCCAUCUCUCUUCCUGCUAGAGUUUCCUGCCUAAUAGGUGGUAUAACCUCCACAGAUGGCGCCACUAGAGAGACCAAGAGAAGCAAGUGUAAACUGUGGACUGCAUCUUGAUCUGUGGAUCUGUAAACUGAGUCAAAAUAUGUAGAUCUCUCUUAUACACACAGGAAGUAAUUCUGCUGUAUUUCCUUAAAAUAGUCACAGUGUAGUUUUAUACUUAAAAUGAUGACGGGAUACCACAAAAAUUGCCAACACAGUGGCUAUAAGAUUUCCUAUUACCACUAGCAGAUGUUAGGUAAGGACUUCCACAACCAUCCUAAUUAACUGCACACUAUAAAGAUGGAAAAUUCAGAGGUCAGCCAUUUAGAAACUACUGUUUCUAAAAUACUGUACAACAAUAUAAUGAAACACUUAUUCCUAAAUAAGAAUGAAUACAUUAUAAUGAGCUGCAGAACCAAGACAUGCAAUAUGCCUAUAUAACAAGAUCUUUUCUUAUUAAUUUGGGAUACAGUUCUAGCAACUAAAAUCAGCAGUUACCUGUGAUUGAGUGGUGUGCUGAAGAAAAGAGUUGUCACACUACUGGAACAGACAGUUCCUUUUGAUAGGACAACCUACAUACUGUAGAGAAGGAGGGGGCUAUAUAUUAAGAUUCUGAAUGUAUCUUACAGUGGCAGUUUCAUGCAGCAGUAGUUAUACCCUCCUUUCCUACUUGUAUUAAUCAGAGGUGGGAAAGGUGCUAUAGGUUGGUUGUUAUAAGCUAGUCAACGUUUGGGGUCUGGGGAUGUUCCACCUGGAAGUAGAAAAUGUUGGAGUUUGGUAUCUCCUUUGAUACAAUCUGGUUUAUUUAUAAGGAACAUACAUUCUCCAAAUGUAGAAAGAACCACGAUCUAAAGGAGCAAUUGUGACGUUCCGUACCUUGUGGGAGCAUCCUGUAACCCUCCAUAUUCCUCGUCUGUAUAUAAUUGUGAUAUUACAUAUAAAGCAUGCCUUGUAAGGUAUCAGGGGGAAAGGUUAUGAUUUGCUGAAAGUCAUUUCUCUAUCCAUAUAUAUGUAUUAUUAUUGCAUGUGAAGUUAUGAGAAUUGUGUUCUAUGGUUGUAGCUAAAACAUGCUGUAAGUUGGGGAAUCAGCCAGAUAUUAGCUCCCCAGAGGCAACAGCAAGGAAAGUAACCAAUACCCAGACGGGGUGUGAAACAACCCAUCAACAACCAUUGUCCAUCAAGGGAGCUACAAUGCAAUGACUCACCUGCAUGAGGUCACACCAGGGGGAUUGCUCAACGUUGCCUGGAGACUCAGCAAUGCCUCCCAGACAUACUUGGACUUCUGUUCUACAAGCACAUGGACUGAGGAUAUAAAAUUGAACACAGGGGGCCCAGGCUUGGCUUACUCUUCUGCCUCGACCUAUACUGCAAGCAAUUAAGACACUGAGAAGACAAGGCUCCAAUAGAGGAGAUUGACCCAGGUUUAAGGAACAAACCUGUAUAUUAAGCAAUAUCCAGUGAAGUGAGAAAAACUGCUUAAUCUAGAAGUUGCCCAGUCGAAUAGGAUUGAGAGUUUCUUUUGGUAACGAACUCUGACUUUUUGCCUAUCACUUAAAAUCUAUCUUUUAUAGUCAAUAAAU